GGAAGUAAAAGUCGUAAUAAGGUUUCCGUAGGUGAACCUGCGGAAGGAUCAUUACUGAGUGAGGGCCCCUCGGGGUCCAACCUCCCACCCGUGUUUAACGAACCUUGUUGCUUCGGCGGGCCCGCCUCACGGCCGCCGGGGGGCAUUUGCCCCCGGGCCCGCGCCCGCCGAAGCCACCUGUGAACGCUGUCUGAAGUAUGCAGUCUGAGACAAUUAUUAAAUUAAUCAAAACUUUCAACAACGGAUCUCUUGGUUCCG
rnacentral:misc_RNA from 1 species